rnacentral:rRNA from 1 species
UACGUAGGGCGCAAGCGUUGUCCGGAAUUAUUGGGCGUAAAGAGCUCGUAGGUGGCUUGUCACGUCGGGUGUGAAAGCUUGGGGCUUAACUCCAGGUCUGCAUUCGAUACGGGCUGGCUAGAGGUAGGUAGGGGAGAACGGAAUUCCUGGUGUAGCGGUGAAAAUGCGCAGAUAUCAGGAGGAACACCGGUGGCGAAGGCGGUUCUCUGGGCCUUACCUGACGCUGAGGCGCGACAGCGUGGGGAGCAAACAGG